rnacentral:rRNA from 1 species
AUUGAACGCUGGCGGUAUGCUUAAGACAUGCAAGUCGAACGGUAACAGACCUUCGGGUGCUGACGAGUGGCGGACGGGUGAGUAACACGUGGGAAUCUACCUUGUAGUGGGGGAUAAGCCAGGGAAACUUGGACUAAUACCGCAUACGCCCUAAGGGGGAAAGGAGCAAUUCGCUAUAAGAUGAGCCCGCGUCUGAUUAGCUAGUUGGUGAGGUAAAGGCUCACCAAGGCGACGAUCAGUAGCUGGUCUGAGAGGAUGACCAGCCACAUUGGGACUGAGACACGGCCCAGACUCCUACGGGAGGCAGCAGUCGGGAAUAUUGGACAAUGGGGGCGAACCCUGAUCCAGCAAUACCGCGUGUGUGAAGAAGGCCUCGGGUUGUAAAGCACUUUUGUCAGGGAGCAAACCUACAGACUAAUACUCUGUGGGGAGUGAGAGUACCUGAAGAAUAAGCACCGGCUAACUACGUAGCCAGCAGCCGCGGUAAAG